rnacentral:misc_RNA from 1 species
AUCUUUUUUUUAUUAUUAAAAAAAAUAUAAAAUACAAAGUGUGGGUUUUAAAUAUAAGUGAUCGCGAAACCUCGCUAGACGCUCGGUUCGCCAAAUCAGUAAUGAUCCUUCCGCAGGUUCACCUACGGAAA